UUGUUUUGUUGCAUCGGUGCGAUAACGAUGAGCACACAUUCCAUACUUUCAGUUUGUGUUAUUCGUUGUUGCAAGUUCGGUAAAUCGAGUUAUAUUUAGUUGAUCUCCGGUGAAAAUUAGUGUUAAUAGGCGUGUUUGGUCUUCUACUAGUUGUUUAUCGCGUGGUAAUUUUCGUAAUUCUAAAUUUGGCAUGUUUAGUUUAUCGCGAGUUUGUUUGUGUGAGGUUGUUGCGGUCGGUGCGGACGGCCAGGGACAUUUUGUGAACGCCAAGAAUUAAUUGAUUUGUGAAAAACAUUUUUGCCAUCAACAGAGGUGCAUGAACUAAUGCACUAAUAUCUGUAUCUACCAACUUGCCGUCGAUUCACCGUCUUCUAUAACUGCACUUGAUGUUCUUUGGUGACUGAUGUAUACAACAAUUCAAAUUUUCAACUUCUUCAGUUACUGAAGAUGCCCUCGUGGCGAAACAUGUAUAACCAGUACCGGCGAUAGGGCAUGGCGCGGUUGAGCGACCGUCAAGGGGCGAUGGACUUUAAGGGGGGCCGACUCGCACUUGGCCGGUUUUUUCGUAUGGAUUUGAAUUGCAGUUAGGGGGCGCCGUAGAAAUCUCGCCCAGGGCGCUGGUAGUGCUAAAACCGGCACUGACUGUUUGCUAUCUAUACGUCGAAAGAUGUGGCACAACUCCGGAAGAACAGGCGGAAUGCAUUUGUCCAGACUGCGACUGUUUUAUUGAAAUAUUUUAAGGCAAGUCUUUACGUUCUUGGAAUUUCAUAGCCAUGGUAAUUUUCGAUAUGAAUAAUUGUAUAUAUUUUUAUAUAAUGUUUGUAAAUAAAACACAAUAUAAUAUUACA